UGUCACUUACCUAUAACUAAGGGAAUGUUUACGUGAAGCUCAUAGGUGUUAAAAAUAGCUCAUGCAUAUGUUGUCUAAUCGAGCCAUGGAUCCGAAUGAACUCAGCAUAUAGUUAAAUCAAGAUGUGCAUGUGUGGUGGAGUAAAUGAUAGUAAUGGUAAAAAUAUAUAAGUGAUGAUAAAACUUCCUCCUCAUUGCUCCUCAUAUUGCUAUCUCUCCUCCUCUUUGAUAUUUGCUUUGGGAGAACAUGGACUAUCUUUUUCUCUUUUUUUUCAGGUGGGUAGUAAAUACCCCUAAUUCUAUUAUCGGACACUUGUCCAUUUUUUCUGCUCAGGUGGGCAUCUUUGUACCCCUAAUUCUACUCCGGACACUUGUCCAUUUUUACCUCUCAUCUCACUCUUUUUCUUUCUUUUUCGAGGUUCCGGGCACUUGCCCCUUUUUAUUUCCUCGCAUAUUUUUACAAAACCCAUGCCUCUUCUGCAUUGAAUCUUUUUAGAGAGAGAGAAUAACAACACUUUGGGACAAUGAGUGAUAAUAUUUUUAGCAAUUUUAAUGAAUGGUGAUGGAUGGUGUAGUAGGUGUGUGCAAGUGAAUAUCUUAAUUUAACCACAUAAAAAGCUCCUAAGGGUCUACACCGCUCGAUCAAACUCAAUGUGAAUAUAAGUAGCAAAAGAUGUUAUGGCUGUGGUAGAAAUUUUGCCAUGCUAGGAACUCAUCAUGUGAUUUGCAAGUUUUCAAAAUAAAUCUCCAGAACUUAGUGUAGUAGGAGCAAGAUCAACAGUAGCUCAAACUUUAUAUCAUGUCUUUCUCUUACCUAGACUUUGGUUUUAGGUUCAUGCUUCCCAUAGAUAGUAAAUUUUAGUUUUAGUAAUUCCUGGAAGAACUUUAAUAUAAAAGCUAGGAACUUGAAAGUAAGAAAGCAGAGCAACUGUUCAUCAUUUCCAUCAUGCAUCUUUUUAGUCUUUUUAUUUUUCUAGAGAUUAACACUUGGU
rnacentral:lncRNA from 1 species